rnacentral:rRNA from 1 species
AUUGAACGCUGGCGGCAGGCCUAACACAUGCAAGUCGAGCGGAUAAAGGGAGCUUGCUCCUGGAUUCAGCGGCGGACGGGUGAGUAAUGCCUACGAAUCUGCCUGGUAGUUGGGGAUAACGUCCGUACACGGGCGCUAAUACCGCAUACGUCCUGAUGUAGAACGUGGGGGAUCUUCGGACCUCACGCUAUCAGAUGAGCCUAGGUCGGAUUAGCUAGUUGGUGGGGUAAAGGCCUACCAAGGCGACGAUCCGUAACUGGUCUGAGAGGCUGAUCAGUCACACUGGAACUGAGACACGGUCCAGACUCCUACGGGAGGCAGCAGUGGGGAAUAUUGGACAAUGGGCGAAAGCCUGAUCCAGCCAUGCCGCGUGUGUGAAGAAGGUCUUCGGAUUGUAAAGCACUUUAAGUAGGGAGGAAGGGCAGUAAGUGAAUACCUGGCUGUUUUGACGUUACCAACAGAAUAAGCACCGGCUAACUUCGUG